UACGUAGGGGGCAAGCGUUGUUCGGAUUUACUGGGCGAAAAGGGCGCGUAGGCGGCGCGUAAAGUCGUACAUGAAAUCAUUGGGCUUAACCCGAUGACUGUGCCCGAUACUUGCGUGCUUAGAGUGCGGGAGAGGCAAUCGGAAUUCUCGGUGUAGCGGUGAAAUGCGUAGAUAUCGAGAGGAACUCCGGUGACGAAGCUGGGUUGCUGGACCGACACUGACGCUGAGGCGCGAAAGCUCGGGGACCAAACGGG
rnacentral:rRNA from 1 species